rnacentral:rRNA from 1 species
GUGGGGAAUAUUGGACAAUGGGCGCAAGCCUGAUCCAGCAAUGCCGCGUGGGUGAAGAAGGUCUUCGGAUCGUAAAGCCCUUUCGACAGGGACGAUGAUGACGGUACCUGUAGAAGAAGCCCCGGCUAACUUCGUGCCAGCAGCCGCGGUAAUACGAAGGGGGCUAGCGUUACUCGGAAUUACUGGGCGUAAAGGGCGCGUAGGCGGCUCUGUUAGUCAGGCGUGAAAUUCUUGGGCUUAACCUGGGGACUGCGCUUGAUACUGCAGGGCUUGAGGCCGAGAGAGGGUGGUGGAAUUCCCAGUGUAGAGGUGAAAUUCGUAGAUAUUGGGAAGAACACCGGUGGCGAAGGCGACCACCUGGCUCGGUUCUGACGCUGAGGCGCGACAGCGUGGGGAGCAAACAGGAUUAGAUACCCUGGUAGUCC